UCCUUGGCUUUGGUCUCUUGGACAGACACCACGCCACCUCUCACUCCCUUACCAGAACGAACCUAGCGUCCGCCGUCCGUCCAGCGGAAAACUCCAAAGUGGGCAACAGGCUAUAAAAGCCGAAUACUCACCAUCCCCACCCCGCCCCCAGCGCCCGCCCGGCCCGCGCCGCUCCCCAGCACGGGGCGCCCACUCCCACCCGGCCCGCCGCCCGGUCACCGCAGUGCAUUGCAACACGCGCAGACGCCGCCGGCUGGAGAGGACCCCACCGCGGACUUCCCGGUCGAUAAUAGCCCCCUAGACUGCUCCCCACAACAUCUUUGCAGAGGAGGUGGAUGAGAAGGCAACUAGUACUGUCACUUCGGAGACACAGAAACAUAGGUCAAAUAACAUGACUUAUCCAAGUUCACCUUGGGUAAGAAAACACCUUUUUCACAAAUGGCCAGAGCAACUUGCCAUCUUGUAUCCAUGUUCCUUUAUCUGAAGUUUGUGUGGAUCCAGAAUGUUUAUUUCCUUUUUUGACCCCACAGCAGAUAGUUACAAAGACAGCUUUAAAGUAAAGAAGGGAAAAUUGGCUUGAUACCUCAGAAUCAACAACAAUUACCUUUGCCUGAAAUAUCCAGAGGCUCGGAAUCGGAAAUCCAGAAACUCUAGUGCCAGCAUUGUCUGGUGAGAUGAGGCAUCUGAGCAAGGGGAGACACCUAAUGGCAUUUCUCAUUACCAACAAAGAAAAACAGAUGAACAUAUGCUUGCAAACCCACGCCAGCUGACUUACUGAGUAGAAGAUAAAUGUGUUCAUCAGUGAAAGAGAAGGGGACCAACAGAAAGACACAUGUAGCCAGGAGAUGAAUUCAAUGAUCACCUUUAUUCCAGGCACCAACAAGUGAGAUAAAGGCAAAGACCGAAUGGAAAAAUGUCAGAAAUGAAUACCAAUGAUAAGAAGGUAACUAUAAACCGAUUCCUUUGGCUACCUGCUUUAAUAUUCUCGAUUGCUCCGCUUUCUCGUAAUGAGGAAUUGGCUUCCCUGAUGACAACUGCGGGUGUUGAUAGGCUGGAUGGAGACAGAGAUCAUGGUGACAAAGGAGAGGCCGUGUUCCAGAACCAGGCAGGUUCUGGCAGGGAGCUGGAGCAGGCAAUGAGAAAAGUAGGCAUGCUGAAUUUCAUGGGAGGGGCUGAGACACCAAAAAAUAUAGUAAGUGGUCAGUGCCGAUGAAAUAUAACAUGAGAACUAUGUCUCCAGAACAAAGCAGUGGCUUAGUCAUGAGAGCAGAGUAUGAGGCUAGGGAGACAUUGAGUUCCUGGCUUGACUCCAUUUUUGUUCUCAUUGACCAUCUGGUCCCAGGGCUACAGAUGUGGCUUUCUCUGCGAAUGGAGCUUCCCCUCCUCAGCUAUGGUACCUAGCUUGGGAGAAAGCUCAUUAAACAGUGUGGUCACACCUCUGUAGUAUGAAAUUCAAGGACUUAUGCAGAAUUGGAAAGUCAUGGUCCUUAGAAUCAUGUUUUUCUAGAUUUUAUGGUGAGUAAUUUGGACCAAUGACCUUUUUUGAGCCAUUUUUCUCCUCACACUGUGGUGCCAUUCUGAGGAUCCUCUUUUCAUUUCUUUCCAUUUCAUUUUGGAUUAAAAUGAGAAUUAUCUUUAAAAAUGUUAUGAUGGGAGUUCCUGUUGCGAUGCAGCAGAAACGA